rnacentral:rRNA from 1 species
GCGCGAAGAACCUUACCUGGGCUUGACAUGUGCCUGACGAUCCCGGAAACGGGGUUUCCCUUCGGGGCGGGUUCACAGGUGGUGCAUGGUCGUCGUCAGCUCGUGUCGUGAGAUGUUGGGUUAAGUCCCGCAACGAGCGCAACCCUCGCCGCAUGUUGCCAGCGGGUUAUGCCGGGAACUCAUGCGGGACCGCCGGGGUCAACUCGGAGGAAGGUGGGGAUGACGUCANAUCAUCAUGCCCCUUACGUUCAGGGCUUCACGCAUGCUACAAUGGCCGGUACAACGCGAUGCGACAUGGUGACAUGGGGCGGAUCGCUGAAAACCGGUCUCAGUUCGGAUCGCAGUCUGCAACUCGACUGCGUGAAGGCGGAGUCGCUAGUAAUCGCGGAUCAGCAACGCCGCGGUGAAUGCGUUCCCGGGCCUUGUACACACCGCCCGUCAAGUCAUGAAAGUGGGCAGCACCCGAAGCCGGUGGCCCAACCGUUUUUCGCGGGGGGAGCCCGUCUAAGGUGAGGCUCGUGAUUGGGACUAAGUCGUAACAAGGUA